ACUCCUACGGGAGGCAGCAGUCGAGGAUCUUCCGCAAUGGGGGCAACCCUGACGGAGCGACGCCGCGUGCAGGAUGAAGGCCUUCGGGUCGUAAACUGCUGUCACACGUUAUGAAAAAGUACGAACUAACACUUCGUACCUUGACAAAGGCGUGAAAGGAAGCCACGGCUAACUUCGUGCCAGCAGCCGCGGUAAGACGAAGGUGGCUAGCGUUGCUCGGAUUUACUGGGCAUAAAGCGCGCGUAGGUGGUCGUGUAAGCGGGGGAUGAAAGCCCAUGGCUCACCCAUGGAACUGUCCCCCGGACUGCACGGCUCGAGGAAGGAAGGGG
rnacentral:rRNA from 1 species